ACGAACGCUGGCGGCGUAGCCUAACACAUGCAAGUCAACUUGACUGAAGGAGCAAUCUGACAGUAGAGUGGCGCAAGGGUGCGUAACGCGUAAGUAACUUGCCCCAAGGUAAGGAAUAACGUCGAGAAAUCGGCGCUAAUACCUCAUAAUGCAGCGGAUCCGCAUGGAUAUGUUGUUAAAGGUUUACCGCCUUGGGAUAGGCUUGCGUCUGAUUAGCUAGUUGGUGUGGUAACGGCACACCAAGGCUACGAUCAGUAACUGGUCUGAGAGGAUGAUCAGUCACACUGGAACUGAGACACGGUCCAGACUCCUACGGGAGGCAGCAGUGAGGAAUAUUGGGCAAUGCUCGAAAGAGUGACCCAGCAACGCCGCGUGGAGGAUGAAGGUAUUCUAUAUCGUAAACUCCUGUGAGAGCAGACGAAAGACAGAUUAUUAAUCUGGAUGACUGUAUGCUCAGAGGAAGCCCCGGCUAACUACGUG
rnacentral:rRNA from 1 species